GUGCUUGCUUCGGCAGCAUGUAUACUAAAAUUGGAAUGAUACAGAAAAGACUAGCAAGGCCCCUGCACAAGGAUGACAUACAAAUUCAAGGAGUGUUUCAUAUUUUU
ensembl:snRNA U6 U6 spliceosomal RNA